UACGGGGGGGGCAAGCGUUGUUCGGAAUUACUGGGCGUAAAGGGCGCGUAGGCGGUUCGCUAAGUUGGAUGUGAAAACUCUGGGCUCAACCCAGAGCCUGCAUCCAAAACUGGCAGGCUAGAGUUCUGGAGGGGAUAGCGGAAUUCCUGGUGUAGCGGUGAAAUGCGUAGAUAUCAGGAGGAACACCGGUGGCGAAGGCGGCUAUCUGGACAGAGUCUGACGCUGAGGCGCGAAAGCUAGGGGGGCAAACAGG
rnacentral:rRNA from 1 species